rnacentral:rRNA from 1 species
GAUGAACGCUGGCGGCGUGCCUAAUACAUGCAAGUCGAGCGAACAGACGAGGAGCUUGCUCCUCUGACGUUAGCGGCGGACGGGUGAGUAACACGUGGAUAACCUACCUAUAAGACUGGGAUAACUUCGGGAAACCGGAGCUAAUACCGGAUAAUAUAUUGAACCGCAUGGUUCAAUAGUGAAAGACGGUUUUGCUGUCACUUAUAGAUGGAUCCGCGCCGCAUUAGCUAGUUGGUAAGGUAACGGCUUACCAAGGCGACGAUGCGUAGCCGACCGGAGAGGGUGAUCGGCCACACUGGAACUGAGACACGGUCCAGACUCCUACGGGAGGCAGCAGUAGGGAAUCUCCCGCAAUGGGCGAAAGCCUGACGGAGCAACGCCGCGUGAGUGAUGAAGGUCUUCGGAUCGUAAAACUCUGUUAUUAGGGAAGAACAAAUGUGUAAGUAACUAUGCACGUCUUGACGGUACCUAAUCAGAAAGCCACGGCUAACUACGUG